rnacentral:rRNA from 1 species
AUGGCGACCGGCGCACGGGUGAGUAACGCGUAUCCAACCUGCCCUUUACUAUGGGACAGCCCGUCGAAAGGCGGAUUAAUACCGUAUGUUGUCAUGUUGAUGCAUAUUUUCAUGACCAAAGGCUUCGGCCGGUAAAGGAUGGGGAUGCGUCUGAUUAGCUUGCCGGCGGGGUAACGGCCCACCGGGGCGACGAUCAGUAGGGGUUCUGGGAGGAAGGUCCCCCACAUUGGAACUGAGACACGGUCCAAACUCCUACGGAAGGCAGCAG